rnacentral:misc_RNA from 1 species
UGGAAGUAAAAGUCGUAACAAGGUCUCCGUAGGUGAACCUGCGGAGGGAUCAUUACACAAUAACAAGGCGGGCUGGACACCCCCCGCUGGGCACUGCUUCACGGCGUGCGCGGCGGGGCCGGCCCUGCUGAAUUAUUCACCCGUGUCUUUUGCGUACUUCUUGUUUCCUGGGUGGGCUCGCCCGCCCUCAGGACCAACCACAAACCUUUUGCAAUAGCAAUCAGCGUCAGUAACAACGUAAUUAAUUACAACUUUCAACAACGGAUCUCUUGGUUCUGGCAUCGAUGAAGAACGCAGCGAAAUGCGAUACGUAGUGUGAAUUGCAGAAUUCAGUGAAUCAUCGAAUCUUUGAACGCACAUUGCGCCCUUUGGUAUUCCAAAGGGCAUGCCUGUUCGAGCGUCAUUUGUACCCUCAAGCUUUGCUUGGUGUUGGGCGUCUUUUGUCUCCAGUUCGCUGGAGACUCGCCUUAAAGUCAUUGGCAGCCGGCCUACUGGUUUCGGAGCGCAGCACAAGUCGCGCUCUUCGCCAGCCAAGGUCAGCGUCCAGCAAGCCUUUUUUUCAACCUUUGACCUCGGAUCAGGUAGGGAUACCCGCUGAACUUAAGCAUAUCAAUAAGCGGAGGAA